UAGGAAUGAGGAGGAUGGCGAAAACCCUAAAACCCUAGAGCGGCGAUUUUUUUUUCUUCCAUACCUCUUUAACUUUUUACUCAGAUCUGAGGCCUUCUCUGGUCCGGUGCUUCCCGCCAGUAUCGUGAGAGUGUCUCCUCUUAUAAUUAUCCUUUUCAAGUUUAAUUUUUUCUUAGGUGUAUGUUCUUCGACGUUGCUGGAAGGAGAUAUAAGUUAUGUUCGUUUCGGUUGUGAUCUUGUGUGUGGUGUGUGGUUUCUUGCCUUCUCCUUCGAAGAUAUGGAUUCAGAUCCGGAAUAGAGACUCAAAUCUCAGAGAAUCUCAUUUCGGUUUUCACCUGUUGAUCUUUUUAGAUCUAAUGUAUGUGGUGUGGUGUGAUGGUUUGUCAUGGAUUCCGGUUGUACUAAGAAAGAUCUUGUUGGUGGGGCUUCGGUUGUCAUGUACGCGGUGUGUAGUCACAUUAAAGGCGUGUGGAACCCAUUCUGUGGUUUAGCCACCGGAGAAGUGGUGUAUCUUUUGGCAUUGUCAGGGUGUGGAGUCGCAUCAGAGGCGCGCGAAGAGCCCUUUCACAGUCCAAUAGCAUAUCUUCUUUGGAUAUGGAGAGGCUCUACUUUGACGGUUAUAUAUUGCAACCAUGCCGGAAUGCUGCAAGGAUUGAGGAGUUCUUAGGUCUCGUAGCUUCAAUAGAUUGGGAGCUCUUUAACAAGACUUUACAGAAUUCCCUAGUCCACUGGUUGAUAGGAAAGAAUGAAAAGGGCAGACUAAUACCCUGGUGGUCUCAUUUCAGCUGGUUUUUAUACCUUGACGGUUCAAGGUUUAUUACUUUGGUGCCUACUGGUAUCAGGUUUAUUACUUUGGUGCCUAUUGGCAUCGAUAUGUCUUUAUUAGCUACUGUUUUUUCCUUCUUUGUACUGGUGUAUGUUUGCAGUACUUGGUUUAUGCAUCUAUGUAUGACCAAUUUGGUCAUGAACUCUA